UACGUAGGAGGCGAGCGUUGUCCGGAGUUACUGGGCGUAAAGGGUGCGCAGGCGGCCUGAGAAGUGGCGUGUGAAAUCUCCUGGCUCAACUGGGAGGGUGGGCGCCAAACUCUUAGGCUUGAGGCUCGGAGGGGGGCGUGGAAUUCCGGGUGGAGCGGUGAAAUGCGUAGAGAUCCGGAGGAACACCGACGGCGUAGGCAGCGCCCUGGACGAGACCUGACGCUCAGGCACGAAAGCUGGGGGAG
rnacentral:rRNA from 1 species